ACCUGCCUGGGCGACCGUGACCCUGGUGGAGUCUGGGGGUGACCUCAAGGCCCCGGGAGAGUCCCUGCGGCUCCUCUGCCGCGCCUCUGGCUUCACCUUCGGCAGCUACGCCAUGGAGUGGGUGCGCCAGAGCCCCGGGAAGGGGCUGGAAUAUGUUGCUGGGAUCAACAGCAAUGGUGGCAGCACCUGGUACGCGCCGUCGGUGCGGGGCCGGUUCAGCAUCCCCAGGGACAACGGGCAGAGCUCGGUGACGCUGCAGAUGAACAACCUCAGGGACGAGGAUUCCAACACCUAUUUCUGUGCCAAAGAUGCUGGUGCUGGUGGUGCUGUUGAAG